rnacentral:rRNA from 1 species
UAAUACGUAGGGUGCGAGCGUUAAUCGGAAUUACUGGGCGUAAAGCGUGCGCAGGCGGUUUUGUAAGUCAGAUGUGAAAUCCCCGGGCUCAACCUGGGAACUGCGUUUGAAACUACAAGGCUAGAGUGUAGCAGAGGGGGGUGGAAUUCCACGUGUAGCAGUGAAAUGCGUAGAGAUGUGGAGGAACACCGAUGGCGAAGGCAGCCCCCUGGGUUAACACUGACGCUCAGGCACGAAAGCGUGGGGAGCAAACAGGAUUAGAUACCCUGGUAGUCCACGCCCUAAACGAUGUCAACUAGUUGUCGGGUCUUAACGGGCUUGGUAACGCAGCUAACGCGUGAAGUUGACCGCCUGGGGAGUACGGU